GGGGACGUGGCCAAGCGGCUAAGGCAGUAGGCUGCAACCCUGCGAUCCUGGGUUCGAGUCCCAGCGUCCCCU
rnacentral:tRNA from 1 species